rnacentral:rRNA from 1 species
AUGAACGCUGGCGGCGUGCUUAACACAUGCAAGUCGAGCGAAGCGCUUAUGAUGAUCCUUCGGGUGAUUCAUUUGUGACUGAGCGGCGGACGGGUGAGUAACGCGUGAGUAACCUGCCUCAUACAGGGGAAUAACAGUUAGAAAUGACUGCUAAUGCCGCAUAAGCGCACAGGGCCACAUGGCCCGGUGUGAAAAACUCCGGUGGUAUGAGAUGGACUCGCGUCUGAUUAGCUAGUUGGCAGGGUAACGGCCUACCAAGGCAACGAUCAGUAGCCGGCCUGAGAGGGUGAACGGCCACAUUGGGACUGAGACACGGCCCAAACUCCUACGGGAGGCAGCAGUGGGGAAUAUUGCACAAUGGGGGAAACCCUGAUGCAGCGACGCCGCGUGAGUGAAGAAGUAUUUCGGUAUGUAAAGCUCUAUCAGCAGGGAAGACAAUGACGGUACCUGAAUAAGAAGCCCCGGCUAACUACGUGCCAGCAGCCGCGGUAAUACGUAGGGGGCAAGCGUUAUCCGGAUUUACUGGGUGUAAAGGGAGCGUAGACGGCUUUGCAAGUCUGACGUGAAACUCCGGGGCUCAACUCCGGAACUGCGUUGGAAACUGUAAGGCUUGAGUGCCGGAGAGGUAAGCGGAAUUCCUAGUGUAGCGGUGAAAUGCGUAGAUAUUAGGAGGAACACCAGUGGCGAAGGCGGCUUACUGGACGGCAACUGACGUUGAGGCUCGAAAGCGUGGGGAGCAAACAGGAUUAGAUACCCUGGUAGUCCACGCGGUAAACGAUGAAUACUAGGUGUUGGGGGACAAAGUCCUUCGGUGCCGCCGCAAACGCAUUAAGUAUUCCACCUGGGGAGUACGUUCGCAAGAAUGAAACUCAAAGGAAUUGACGGGGACCCGCACAAGCGGUGGAGCAUGUGGUUUAAUUCGAAGCAACGCGAAGAACCUUACCAAGUCUUGACAUCGAUCUGAAUGGAAAGUAAUGUUUCCAGUCUCUUCGGAGACAGAGAAGACAGGUGGUGCAUGGUUGUCGUCAGCUCGUGUCGUGAGAUGUUGGGUUAAGUCCCGCAACGAGCGCAACCCUUGUUACUAGUUGCCAGCAUUAAGUUGGGCACUCUAGUGAGACUGCCGGUGACAAACCGGAGGAAGGUGGGGAUGACGUCAAAUCAUCAUGCCCCUUAUGACCUGGGCUACACACGUGCUACAAUGGCGUAAACAAAGGGAAGCGAACCUGUGAGGGUGGGCAAAUCCCAAAAAUAACGUCUCAGUUCGGAUUGUAGUCUGCAACUCGACUACAUGAAGCUGGAAUCGCUAGUAAUCGCGAAUCAGCAUGUCGCGGUGAAUACGUUCCCGGGUCUUGUACACACCGCCCGUCACACCAUGGGAGUCGGUAACGCCCGAAGUCAGUGACCCAACCGUAAGGAGGGAGCUGCCGAAGGCGGGACUGGUAACUGGGGUG